rnacentral:RNase_MRP_RNA from 10 species
CUGCACUUGGAAGACUUGCUAUCUAAGUCAUUAUGGGCAAAAGGGACCCUAUGGCUUAGGGGAAAGUCCCCGGACACUGGGUAGAGAGUACCUGGGGUGUAACCCCCCACACCUGAUCUAAACCACCUGGGGUUAUACACCUUGGACCAAGCUAAGAUGCAUUGCGGAGCUUGUGGGUACGGUUGGGCUUAGUCGAAGCACAGUCAUGCAAGUGGCUAGUUGUAAUGCUAGCUAACUCAAUGGGGCUCACUCUCCAAGUGCA